GACGUAGGGCGCGAGCGUUGUCCGGAUUUAUUGGGCGUAAAGAGCUCGUAGGCGGCUUGUCGCGUCGUCCGUGAAAACCAGGGGCUCAACCCCUGGCUUGCGGUCGAUACGGGCAGGCUAGAGUUCGGUAGGGGAGACUGGAAUUCCUGGUGUAGCGGUGAAAUGCGCAGAUAUCAGGAAGAACACCCGUGGCGAAAGCGGCUCUCUGGAACGGUACUGACGCUGAGACGCGAAAGCGUGGGGAGCGAACAGG
rnacentral:rRNA from 1 species